CAUCACUCCUUGGAAAUAUAAUGGUGUUCUGUGAGGCUCGUAGGAUGAAAGUUGCCGUCGCUGGCAGUAGGCUACUCUGGAGGACAGGAGCGUUUUCUUGUGCUUAUUUCACGCUGGGCAUCGUGUGACAAAAGCUCCCUGGAAUCCUGCCUUAUUUCACCCGACAUUUGACUAGUAGACUACCCAUGUUCAUCAAGCUGACGCGCCCUCCCUCCUCCACUCUGACCCCUCGGGCCUCUUGCCCAUAGCACAAACAAGGCCAAGGUAGGCAGCAAUGGCUUACUUGUACUGCCAGUUAAUCAUGCAAUAAUGAUUGGGGUUGCUACAUGGGUUUAGAAAAAUGUGUAUUUGUAUUAUUUAUAUUUUAAGAUUUAAGUGCAUACAUUUUGUACUGAUUAAAAGUUCUUUGUAUUGAUAACUGUAAAAUUAUGACUUGUGGCAUGUAGGUGAUAAUUGAAGAUGAUGUAUGUUAUUAGUAAAAUCUUGUUUUCUUGUUUGCUAUAGAUCACAGCUGGCUGUCAGUAUGACAGCCUGACCACUGUUUUCCCCUGAUUAAAUUUAGUUUGUGUUUUUUUUUUAUUGUAUGCUCCCUAGUGGUGACCUGCUCUGUCCUUAGCCCAUUAUUGUGCCUUCCAACGCCAAGUAGCAGCGCUAGGUUGGUGUAUGGUCAGGUUGAGUUAGUUGGUUGUUCAUCCCCAGUUUGUUUGUUUUCUGCUUUUCCCUUCUCCUACCCUGUCGGCACUGGCCUAGUCGGCCAGUGUUUUUGAGCAGCCCUCUUAACCAUCUGCUCGAGGGCUGCCUCAGUUAAUGUUCCCCUCCUGAUUUUUCUCCCUUUUACUGGUUUGAGUUUUUUAUUAUUUUUAUUUGUCUCCUCUUGUCUCCUUGCCCCUCCUAGCUGUGACCAAUUGUAAUUUUGCUAGAUAGCCAAUGCCUGUAUAGCAGUAGGCUCCUUCUUAGUAUAUGCCCUAGUGGCCAGUGUGGGUUUCAAACCAUUUCAUGAGUGUUCUUUAGUGUGAUUGAUUACUCACUCCUGAUGAUUGCAGUGUAGUGGCACUUGUGGGUGCGUGUGAGCACAGUUUUGUUCCCUCCUAGUCGAGCGACGGCAUAUGGUAUUUUGCUAACUAGUGCUUAAAAGACAGUCACAGCUGUACCCAGGGGUCCUUGUCUUUGUGUUAUCCCCAAGUUUAUUGAGCUAUUAUUGUUUGUUUCUGUUCUGACAUUCUCCCUGACCAAGUCUCCUUUCCCCCUCCUGGAGCAGUUAAAGAGAAAUAAAAAGCAAAAAUUAUUGACCAAAGCUCUCUGUUCCUAUCCAUUUAUUUG